AUUGAACGCUGGCGGCAUGCUUUACACAUGCAAGUCGAACGGUAACAGGCCGCAAGGUGCUGACGAGUGGCGAACGGGUGAGUAAUGCAUCGGAACGUGCCCAGUCGUGGGGGAUAACUGCUCGAAAGAGCAGCUAAUACCGCAUACGAUCUAUGGAUGAAAGCGGGGGACCGUAAGGCCUCGCGCGAUUGGAGCGGCCGAUGUCAGAUUAGGUAGUUGGUGGGGUAAAGGCUCACCAAGCCAACGAUCUGUAGCUGGUCUGAGAGGACGACCAGCCACACUGGGACUGAGACACGGCCCAGACUCCUACGGGAGGCAGCAGUGGGGAAUUUUGGACAAUGGGGGCAACCCUGAUCCAGCAAUGCCGCGUGCAGGAAGAAGGCCUUCGGGUUGUAAACUGCUUUUGUACGGGACGAAACGGUCUGGGUUAAUACCCUGGGCUAAUGACGGUACCGUAAGAAUAAGCACCGGCUAACUACGUGCCAGCCGCAGCAGUAAGAC
rnacentral:rRNA from 1 species